GACGUAGGGGGCGAGCGUUGUCCGGAAUCACUGGGCGUAAAGAGCUCGUAGGCGGGAUGUUGCGUCUUGGACUAAAUCUAUCUGCUCAACGGAUAGGUGUUCUGAGAUACGGGCAUUCUUGAGGACAGGAGAGGAUAGUGGAAUUCCCCGGUGUAGCGGUGAAAUGCGUAGAUAUCGGGAGGAACACCAGUGGCGAAGGCGGCUAUCUGGCCUGAUUCUGACGCUGAGGAGCGAAAGCCAGGGGAGCGAACGGG
rnacentral:rRNA from 1 species